UACGAAGGGUGCAAACGUUGCUCGGAAUUAUUGGGCGUAAAGAGCUCGUAGGCGGUCCGUCACGUCGGAUGUGAAAUUCCAGGGCUCAACCCUGGACCUGCAUUCGAUACGGGCGGACUAGAGUUCGGUAGGGGAGACUGGAAUUCCUGGUGUAGCGGUGAAAUGCGCAGAUAUCAGGAGGAACACCGGUGGCGAAGGCGGGUCUCUGGGCCGAUACUGACGCUGAGGAGCGAAAGCGUGGGGGAGCGAACAGG
rnacentral:rRNA from 1 species